AUUGAACGCUGGCGGCAGGCCUAACACAUGCCAGUCGAGCGAGCGGCGGACGGGUGAGUAAUGUCUGGGAAACUGCCUGAUGGAGGGGGAUAACUACUGGAAACGGUAGCUAAUCCCGCAUACUAUCAGCUGAACCCAUAUGGGAUUAGCGAGUAGGUUGGGUAACGGCUCACCUAGGCGACGCUCCCUAGCUGGUCUGCGAGGAUGACCAGACACACUGGAACUGAGACACGGGCCAGACUCCUACGGGAGGCAGCAGUGGGGAAUAUUGCACAAUGGGCGCAAGCCUGAUGCAGCCAUGCCGCGUGUGUGAAGAAGGCCUUCGGGUUGUAAAGCACUUUCAGCGGGGAGGCGUUACCCGCAGAAGAAGCACCGGCUAACUCCGUGCCAGCAGCCGCGGUAAUAC
rnacentral:rRNA from 1 species